rnacentral:ncRNA from 2 species
AAAUUCUAAGAAGCGAACUCUCGUAUAAUAGUGGGGAUAUGGCCCACAAGUUUCUACCCGACGACCGUAAAUUGUCGGACUAUGAGAGAAAGUAUCUUACAC